rnacentral:rRNA from 1 species
GAAUCUUGCACAAUGGGGGCAACCCUGAUGCAGCGAUGCCGCGUGAGUGAAGAAGGCCUUCGGGAUGUAAAGCUCUUUCGACUGGGAAGAAGGGUUUUUGAGUGAACAAUUCAAGAACUUGACGGUACCUAAAGAAGAAGCACCGGCUAACUCCGUGCCAGCAGCCGCGGUAAUACGGAGGGUGCAAGCGUUGUUCGGAAUUACUGGGCGUAAAGAGCACGUAGGCGGGCUCGUAAGUCGAUUGUGAAAGCCCCGGGCUCAAUCCGGGAAUUGCAGUCGAAACUACGAGUCUUGAAUGCCCAAGAGGGUGAGGGAAUUCCUGGUGUAGAAGUGAAAUUCGUAGAUAUCAGGAGGAACACCGGAGGCGAAGGCGCUUACCUGGUGGUGCAUUGACGCUGAGGUGCGAAAGCGUGGGGAGCAAA